rnacentral:rRNA from 1 species
UAAGGAAUGUUGCGCAAUGGGGGAAACCCUGACGCAGCAACGCCGCGUGGAGGAUGACACUUUUCGGAGCGUAAACUCCUUUUAUCAGGAAAGAAUAAUGACGGUACCUGAUGAAUAAGCACCGGCUAACUCCGUGCCAGCAGCCGCGGUAAUACGGGGGGUGCAAGCGUUACUCGGAAUCACUGGGCGUAAAGGACGCGUAGGCGGAUUAUCAAGUCUUUUGUGAAAUCUAGUGGCUUAACCACUAAACUGCUUAGGAAACUGAUAGUCUAGAGUAGGGGAGAGGUAGAUGGAAUUCUUGGUGUAGGGGUAAAAUCCGUAGAGAUCAAGAAGAAUACCCAUUGCGAAAGCGAUCUGCUGGAACCUAACUGACGCUGAGGCGUGAAAGCGUGGGUAGCAAACAGG